AGCUAUGACCAGACCACCUGAACNGGUCCACCUGAUCUUACCUGAUCUCUGAAGCUAAGCAGGAUUGGGCCUGGUUAGUACGUGGAUGGAAACCUGGUAGACAGAGGGA
rnacentral:rRNA from 1 species